UUAAAUUAUUUGAUCGACAUGUUCUUGGAUACUCGUGGAGCAUUGUUUAUGCCUGAGGGCUUGUCUAUAAAUGUAUAUGCUUUUUAAAAAUUUACAUGAGCUAAAUUGUGAGUGAUGUUGAUAUGAGUCGUGCAAUAGGCUGCAUGCUUAUAUCGUUGAUUAUUCUUCUUAUUCUUCUAAGUAUUUACCUAAACAGUGAUAUGUGGAGAUUUGGAUGUGUCCAUAAAUUGAUGGUGUCGUCUGCAAAAUUAUGGAUAAUUACGAUAAAAAUCUUAUAUGUUAUUUUACAUGAUGAUCCAUAUACAUGUUUAUGAUGCCUUAACUAUUUACAUGUUUAUAAUUAGCUUACCAUACUGGUUAUAUAUAAUCUCGUAAAUAGAAAAGGAGAUUUAGCUUACCAUGUAUAGCUUGUAAGAUAGGAUGGAUAGACUUAUAGUCACAACACAAGAACUUUGAACUGUGAAUUUGCUUUAUUGUUUCUUCACGUGAUAAAUGACUAGUCUGAGCUUCAGUUUUUUGUUCUUGGCUUUUAAUGUAUUGUUAAACUAUUGUGUCUUGUAAUUAAUGUUUGAAAUCUAUUUAUCUGAUUUGCCAGCCGAUAUCUUUACUGAAAUCCUAGACGAUGAUGUUUUGGUCUUGCCCCCACAUGUACUCGGUAUAACUGGAGUGUGAAAGAGUUGCAUAAAAUGCUUCAUUGGUGCAUUGAGCAACUUCAGCAGUUCAGCCAUAUGAACAAUAAGGCACUAGAUCAACAUGAGGUAAGUGACGAGGCACUCCAGAAAAGGCAAGCUGAACUUGAGGCAAGUGACGAGGUACUAUGGUACUGGAUUUUAAUGCUUAAAUAUCUUCUGUUUUACUUAUUGUUUUUAACGUGGGAUUAUAAUUGUAGUUUUGUGAGUAUGAAAAUGAUAUUUCUCUCAUUCUUGAUGCAUGAGUACAGUAUGUAUAUAUACAGGUCUAGGAUUAAUCUAAAUACCUAGAAUCAAGCUAUAAUUGAAUGCAUAUAAAUCAGCCCUGCAAUCAGCCCUAUAACUGACAGCCCUAUAGUUGACUUACUCUAUUUAGAACAAUAAUCAAUCCUAUAAUUGAUUUACUAUAUUUAAAACAAUAAUUUACUUAUCUUUACUUCAACGACAAACAUAAGCAGUAAAAAAGCAGACUGAGCUUGAGCUUGAUGUGAAAGACCUGCUAGAGAGAAUUUCAGGACAUAUCCAAGCCAAAGUAUCAAACUCUAGCAAAGAGAAAAAUGCUAAUUAUUUUUUGGGGAUAAAGAAUGUUGAAUGCUUUUAUUUAACAUGUGCCUUGCUUUCAGGAUGAUGCUAUGAUUUAACGUGUGCUAUGCUAAAAUGUUCUUUGUCUGCUUGGCUUCUUGGAUUAGUUCAGGUAUUCCUCACUUGGCUUCUUGCAUCAUUCUUACAACAACCCGUGACAUCACGUAGGUAAUUUACGUAUUAUGUUAAAUAUUCUCUCUUAGAGUUGUGUUCCCAAUUUGCCAGACGGUCCGGCAUAAUCACUAGCAGUCUCUUGACCUUCUGCCCUGGUCACUUUAUCGUUUGAAUGAUGCACUUCAUAUCAAUAUGUAUUUUGAGCAACUUAUUUCAUGUGGUGGUUGGGUAUAAUAACAUAUUAAGUCUAAUAAUUAGGCACCUUCAUAUCAAUAUGACGUGGUGGCUUUAAUAAAGAAGUUGAAGUUUUCUCCUAAUUUUCCCCUAGGAUUUGUACAGGUUAGUUCUCCAUCGAGCUUGUUCUAACUGAAAUAGUAUUGAUACAGCAAAAACUUUGAUUUGAGUUUUGAGUUUUGGUCUACACACGAUUGAAAACUCAGUAAUUACCUGUGCUAUAUAUCUCUACGUGUUUUGUUAAUUGAUUGUUGAUGUUUUCAUUAGCUUGUUCUGCAAAUUUGGGUUGAAAGUUUUUGGUGCGACUGUUUAUUGAUUGCUUUUGGAAUCCAUGGAUGGAUAGUUGUGAGAAAAAGUUUCAAUUUGAUAAUUGUGGUCGAUUAGUCCCACGUGUAAAAUCAAGCAAGGCUAUAAAGUACCUACAUAUAGCCUUUUUCCUUGAUGUGAUAGUUGUAAGUAACUUAAAUUAUUUGAUCGACAUGUUCUUGGAUACUCGUGGAGCAUUGUUUAUGCCUGAGGGCUUGUCUGUAAAUGUAGAUGCUUUUUAAAAAUUUACAUGAGCUAAAUUGUUAGUGAUGUUGAUAUGACUCCUGCAAUGAGCUGCAUGCUUAUAUUGUUGAUUAUUCUUCUUAUUCUUCUAAGUAUUUGCCUAAACCGUGAUAUGUGGAGAUUUGGAU